GUGAAUCAUCGAAUCUUUGAACGCAAAUUGCACUCUCUGGUAUUCCGGAGAGCAUGCCUGUUUGAGGGUCAGUAUAUACAAAAAUCGGUGUGUCUCCGGCUUUAUGUGGUGACGCACCGGAUUUGGGUCGUCCUGUUUUCUGCUAAGUGGCCUAUAACCUUGCAUGAUUUUUUUCGAACGUAUUGAAAUGAUUGUACUUACGUAUCCGAUAUCGAA
rnacentral:misc_RNA from 1 species